rnacentral:rRNA from 1 species
GACGAACGCUGGCGGCGUGCUUAACACAUGCAAGUCGAACGGAAAGGCCCUGCUAUUGUGGGGUGCUCGAGUGGCGAACGGGUGAGUAACACGUGAGUAACCUGCCCUUGACUUUGGGAUAACGUCAGGAAACUGGGGCUACUACCGGAUAGGAGCUCCUGCUGCAUGGUGGGGGUUGGAAAGUUCCGGCGGUUGGGGAUGGACUCGCGGCUUAUCAGCUUGUUGGUGGGGUAGUGGCUUACCAAGGCUUUGACGGGUAGCCGGCCUGAGAGGGGGACCGGCCACAUUGGGACUGAGAUACGGCGCAGACUCCUACGGGAGGCAACAGUGGGAAGUAUUGCACAAUGAGCGGGAGCCUGAUGCAGCGGCGCCGCGGGCGGGAUGACGGCCUUCGGGUUGUAAACCGCUUUCGCCUGUGACGGAACGUUAAUGACGGUAAUGGAUAAAGAAGCACCGGCUAACUACGUG